UAAUUAAAUUUCCAAGAAUUCAGCACUUCAACCGGCGCCACAAAUCAACAGUUCCGUGGCAACCUCCGGCUCAUUCGUGGAUCGUUUCUUUAGUGCUCAUUUUUUCCUUGACUCUUGGACACUUUGCACGGUUCCCAGACUGCAAUUUUAGCUUUCAAUUUUCUUUCUUCUUCACAGUCACAAAAGCUUAGAAACUCCUUAAUCAUGGCUCGACUUGUAACUUUGAAAGCGGACAAAAGUUUAUGGGAUGAAAGCCACUACAAAACACACCACCAAGCUUCAACUUUUAACUCCUAUCUUAAGCAGUAUUAUCCCUUGAAUGUUCUACCUUUUAAGCACACGCAGCAUAACCUCAAAUUCAAAGUUACUUGCAGAGUCAGGGACAAAGAAAUAGAAAAUUUAGUAGAAGCCCAGAAAAAAGUAAACAGGUUUCGAGCAAUUGAGGAAUUGGACCAGAAGGAGGGACUUGUGAAGACUUUGGAGGAUGAAUUUGGAGAAGGAAAAGGGGAUAAAAGUGUGCGUUUUGAAUGGAAUUGGCCGCCAUUGAAGAAUAUACCUCAGAGAUAUAAGCUCAUCGGAACAACUUCUCUUGCCUUUGUUAUUUGUAACAUGGAUAAGGUGAACUUGAGUGUUGCUAUAAUACCAAUGUCUCAUCAGUUUGGGUGGAAUUCAUCAACUGCUGGACUGGUUCAAUCAUCAUUCUUUUGGGGCUAUGCUUUGAGUCAGUUGCCUGGUGGAUGGCUGGCAAAGAUUUUUGGUGGAAGAAAGGUACUUGAGGUUGGUGUUCUGGCCUGGUCAUUGGCCACAGCUCUAGUUCCUUUUCUUGCUGGGUACAUGCCUGGACUGGUUGCUUCCAGGAUUUUGGUUGGUAUGGGAGAAGGUGUUUCACCAUCAGCUGCUACCGAUCUGAUUGCCAGGUCAAUACCACUGGAAGAACGCUCACGGGCAGUAUCAUUUGUUUUUGGAGGCUUGAGUUUUGGAAGUGUUAUGGGGCUUCUUUUGGCUCCUCCAUUAAUCCAAAGUUAUGGAUGGGAGUCUGUGUUUAUCAUAUUUGGCUUCCUUGGCAUAGCCUGGUUCUUGGCAUUUCAGUUUGUUAAGGAUGAUGAACCUUCAGCAGGUGGUGCAUCAACAUCAGGGCAUCUAUUCUUUUCCGAAAAGAAUUCAUGGAUUGGGUCCUUGGAAGAAUUGGAAGGAUCACUGAAGGAUGUCCCUUGGAAGGCCUUUUUCAAGAGUAAAGCUGUGUGGGCCAUGAUAUAUGCUCACUUUUGUGGAAGUUGGGGUCACUAUACUUGUUUAUCCUGGCUUCCAACUUAUUUCAGUGAGGAGCUCAGUCUUAAUCUGACAGAAGCUGCAUGGGUUUCAGUCCUUCCUCCAUUAGCUUCAAUUUUUGUCACCAGCAUAGCUGCUCAACUGGCUGACUACUUAAUUACCAAAGGGGUUGACACCACCAGGGUGCGCAAAACUUGCCAAGCAAUUUCUUUCCUCUCUCCCGCUUCUUGUAUGAUUCUUUCCUCUUUGGAUUUGGGAUUGCCUCCAUGGGAGGUUGUAACAAUUCUCACUGGAGGUUUAGCGCUUUCAAGUUUUGCAUUAUCAGGUUUAUACUGUACCCAUCAAGAUAUUUCACCCGAGUAUGCAAGCAUACUUUUGAUAUGAUUUUCCAAACCCAGGGUAUCACAAACACAGUUGGGGCAGUACCUGGAAUUGUUGGUGUUGCUUUGACGGGUUAUCUACUUGAUUCCACUCACUCAUGGAGUUUGUCAUUGUUUGCUCCAUCGAUAUUCUUCUACCUUACGGGUACAGUUGUAUGGUUAACAUUUGCGAGCAGCAAACCACAAACUUUCUCAAAGAGAGAUUGACUCUUAUCACUCAGUGCUAGAGGUGAUCGGUAACUCUUGAUUACUGACAUCACAUUAACAAUUUUGGGAGGACGAUUUAUGCUGACAAUAACAUUUUCUGCUGGACAAACAUAAUUAUAGGCCUCUCAGAUUUUCCUUUCAAGGUUGAUAUAUUUUGUAAACAUAUAGUACCAGUAAAUCUUGUACAUGUCCUUCGCUAUAAUUAGUUGUGUUUUGCAUCUACAAGUUCCUUAUUCUAUUGAAACUUAUUCUGCUCUA